CCGGGGACGGAGAUGUCCGGCUCCGUGUGGGACUGAGAUUUUCUCAUGGGAGAGGGAGAUACUGGAGCACUGCGUGGGUCUGAAAAGAGAGUACUUGGCCUUGAUGGGUGGAGGCUGCAUGCUGGGCUCGAGGACUCUGUACUGAUCCAUAAUCUUCUCCACCAACUUCUGCUUCUCUCGGCGGAGCUCACUCAACUUCUCCCUGGAGGAAAACACGACGCAUCAGAACAAGAGGAGGGUGAAGCCAGUGAAAGAAUUCCCAGCAAAACAAAUGAUCUGGUUUGUGAAUGUUUACUGACUGGUACUCCCGCUGCUGUGAAUAGUGCUGGUCACGG